rnacentral:tRNA from 1 species
GGCAGCGUGGCAUAGUGGCUUGAGUGUUGAACUACAAUUCUGGAGACCAGGAUUCGAUUCCCAGCUUGUCC